UGUAGGCUGUAGCUCAGUUGGUUAGAGCGCUGCACCGGAAUCGCAGUGCCCCAGGUUUGAUUCCUACCAGAGGGCCUAUAA